rnacentral:rRNA from 1 species
UACAGAGGUGGCAAGCGUUGUUCGGUAUCACUGGGCUUAAAGGGCGCGUAGGUGGUUCAGCAAGUCGGUUGUGAAAUCCCUCGGCUUAACCGAGGAAUUGCAUCCGAUACUACUGGACUUGAGGCUCGUAGGGGAGAGUGGAACUCCAGGUGUAGUGGUGAAAUACGUAGAUAUCUGGAAGAACGCCGGUGGCGAAGGCGACUCUCUGGGCGAGUUCUGACACUAAGGCGCGAAAGCCAGGGGAGCGAACGGG